rnacentral:rRNA from 1 species
GACGAACGCUGGCGGCGUGCUUAACACAUGCAAGUCGAACGGUGAAGCGCCUUCCUUUUUGGUGGGUGUGGAUGAGUGGCGAACGGGUGAGUAACACGUGAGUAACCUGCCCCCUUCUUCUGGAUAACCGCAUGAAAGUGUGGCUAAUACGGGAUAUUCUGGGUCUGUCGCAUGAUGGGUCUGGGAAGGUUAUGGUUUCGGUGGGGGAUGGGGCCGCGGCCUAUUAGCUUGUUGGUGGGGUGAUGGCCUACCAAGGCGGUGACGGGUAGCCGGCCUGGGAGGGUGGACGGUCACACUGGGACUGAGACACGGCCCAGACUCCUACGGGAGGCAGCAGGGGGGAAUAUGGCACAAUGGGCGGAAGGCUGAUGCAGCGACGCGGCGGGAGGGAUGGAGGCCUUCGGGUUGUGAACCUCUUUCGCCAGUGAAGCAGGCCUGCCUCGUCUGUGGGUGGGUUGACGGUAGCUGGAUAAGAAGCGCCGGCUAACUACGUG